rnacentral:lncRNA from 10 species
CAAUACAACAUUUCAUAUUAAAAUUUUUGAACAGGUCGGGCGUGGUGGCUCAUGCCUGUAAUCCCAGCACUUUGGGAGGCCGUGGAGGGCGGAUCACGAGGUCAGGAGAUCGAGACCAUCUUGGCUAACACGGUGAAACCCCAUCUCUACUAAAAAUACAAAAAAAAAUUAGCCGGGCGUGGUGGCGGGCGCCUGUAGUCCCAGCUACUCGGGAGGCUGAGGCAGGAGAAUGGCGUGAACCUGGGAGGCGGAGCUUGCAGUGAGCUGAGAUCGCACCACUGCACUCCAGCCUGGGCGACACAGUGAGACUCUGUCUCAAAAAAAAAAAAAAAAAAAAAAAAAUUUGAACAGUUAAUACCCAACAUUUCCUGUACCUAAGGUGAUAUUUAAUGGAUUGUACGGUAUGAGUCAUGACACUGUGCAACAAGAAUCCUUUGGACUUUGGACUCUUAUGGAGGAAGAAACUCUUUCUAUCAACGUGGCUUUAAACGACCCUGAUGCUCUGGCCUCAUUAUCACAGAAAGCAGAACUCAUAUCUUGGCAGGACACAGGAAAUAAAAUGAAAAUAUGUUCUCCUGGACAACUGAGAUCAUGAAUUCCGUUGCAACUGUCUUAUCACCAACAUCACCAAGCAUGCUACUUUAGGGGUAUUCCAAAGAGCUGCAAAAUCACUCAAGAGACACAGGUGGGUCUAGAAAUAAAGAUACUGUCAAUGACAUCACUAGUUAUGAAGAACACAGUGCCUAUGAAUUUUCACUUCUGUUUUAAAC